rnacentral:rRNA from 1 species
UACGAAGGGGGCUAGCGUUGCUCGGAAUUACUGGGCGUAAAGCGCACGUAGGCGGCUUUCUAAGUCGGGGGUGAAAUCCUGGAGCUCAACUCCAGGACUGCCUUCGAUACUGGAGAGCUUGAGUCCGGGAGAGGUGAGUGGAACUGCGAGUGUAGAGGUGAAAUUCGUAGAUAUCGAGAGGAACACCGGUGGCGAAGGCGGCCUUCUGGACAGUGACUGACGCUGAGACGCGAAAGCGUGGGGAGCAAACAGG